rnacentral:rRNA from 1 species
CCCCUAGUAACUGCGAGUGAAGCGGGAAAAGCUCAAAUUUAAAAUCUGGCAGUCUCUGGCUGUCCGAGUUGUAAUCUAGAGAAGUGUUAUCCGCGCUGGACCAUGUACAAGUCUCCUGGAACGGAGCGUCAUAGAGGGUGAGAAUCCCGUCUUUGACAUGGACUACCAGGGCUUUGUGAUGCGCUCUCAAAGAGUCGAGUUGUUUGGGAAUGCAGCUCAAAAUGGGUGGUAAAUUCCAUCUAAAGCUAAAUAUUGGCGAGAGACCGAUAGCGAACAAGUACCGUGAGGGAAAGAUGAAAAGAACUUUGGAAAGAGAGUUAAACAGUACGUGAAAUUGUUGAAAGGGAAACGCUUGAAGUCAGUCGCAUUGGCCAGGGAUCAACCUUACAUUUGUUGGGUGUACUUUCUGGUUAAUGGGUCAGCAUCAAUUUUGACUGUUGGAAAAAGGUCAGGGGAAUGUGGCAUCUUCGGAUGUGUUAUAGCCCUUGGUUGUAUACAGCAGUUGGGAUUGAGGAACUCAGCACGCCGCAAGGCCGGGUUUUUAACCACGUACGUGCUUAGGAUGCUGGCAUAAUGGCUUUAAUCGACCCGUCUUGAAACACGGACCAAGGAGUCUAACAUGCCUGCGAGUGUUUGGGUGGAAAACCCAUGCGCGUAAUGAAAGUGAAAGUUGAGAUCUCUGUCGUGGAGAGCAUCGACGCCCGGACCAGACCUUUUGUGACGGUCCCGCGGUAGAGCAUGUAUGUUGGGACCCGAAAGAUGGUGAACUAUGCCUGAAUAGGGUGAAGCCAGAGGAAACUCUGGUGGAGGCUCGUAGCGAUUCUGACGUGCAAAUCGAUCGUCGAAUUUGGG